GUCAGAUGUGGGUUUGGAGCGCUUCCCUUCUACCAGUCUGCCAGACCUAGUCAGCACCUGCAAUUCCUCGUCCUCCCUCUCUCAGACUGCUCCCCCCUGCUCAUCCCAGACCUCCAACUGCAGCACCAGUACCAACCCCUAUGGGUUGACUAACCUGGAUAAACUAGAAGAACAAAGUCAGGGGGGGCCCCCCAAAGGAUCAUGCUGCAGCCCCACACCCAUCAAGCUCUGCAGCCGAAACCGGGGGGGGAGGAGUCGUCUGGAGUCAGUGGGUGAGGAUGAUGAGCUAUUUGUGGAGAACGGUGUGAGCAGCUGUGAAGUGGCGGAGAAGCCUCCACCUGGCCAACGUAAACACUCCUUACCUCAACAGCUAGAUACUGCUGGGGUGAGACAGGUCAGUGAAUGCCUUACCUGAUUUUUAAUCAAGGAGCAAACAUUGUACAUUGUACCCUGAAUUAUUUAUUUUUAAAUAAUAUCGAAGAAAGAUGAGUCAGGCUUUAAAAUACAAUAAAUAAAUAAAUAAAUAGUUCCAGGAAAUAUGGAGGCCCGGAAACUAAACUCUGGAACAAAAGUCCCUGUCCUCCUGUUUGUUGUUCCAUUACAUCUGAAGAACCGUGAAGAUGAAGCAAAUUAACAGAUAACAGAUUUCACACACGACAAAACAAGAACAGUCACCCAGUUGUUCUUGUGGCAUAAUUAAUGAAUCACAUAAACCAUUGUUGUUAAUAAAUUGUAGGAAACCGGUAAAUAACAUAAAAAAACUUUGGUCAAGGGGGAAGGAGACAGCAAGAAAUACACAUUUAGUAUUCUAUUCUAUAUCUAUUGGUCUAGAGUUGCUCUCUGGUAGUACAUGCUCACUGCAUGUGUGCCAUCAUUAGUUAACAUUACGGCAACUCUCUCUCUCCACAUGGCUCUGGCAGCACCCACCUACCGUUAGCUAGUAGCUAACAUUAGCAAAUAUUUCUGCAAAAUAAUUGCUGUAGAAUAAAAACUCAAUGUAUGUUGCUGUUAUUAGUACUGAAGCUGUUAUCUGUGUUAAUUUAUUGUAGUUGGGUUUUAUGUGAAUUUGUUGUGUAAAUUCUUUAAGUGUUUUGUAUUUAUUUAUAUAAAUAUAUUUAAGUAUACUUUAAACUGUUUAUACUUUAAGUAGUUGAUAUAUUAUAUCUUAUUAUUAUAUUAUGUCAACUUCAAAUUUGCUGUUUUUUAAUGUCGUCGACCGUCAUUUUGUGAGGUUCAGGCACUGUUUUGGCACUGGUUAGGCACCAUUUUAAAGGAUAAGGAAACAAGCUCUGGAAAUGACAAGCAUUUGAUUUGUGACAGUGUCCUUUAGAGAAACCCAGUUUCCCCACACAGAGAUAUUCGAAAUGGCCAAUUUCGUCUGGUGAAUGUACAUGUCACAAACCUUCCCAAAUGUACAUAUCCAUUUGGAAUAACUUUGUAUGGAGUUGCUGGGUUUCCCAUUUAGACGGAACAUAUUUACGAGUAGCUUAAAGCAGGCCUUUCUUGGCUCAUUUAAAGAAAUAUGCUCCAUCUGGACGAAUAACUACAGAUCUGGACUCAAUUGAGACAAUGGACAAAAAUGGGUCUAUGUUGCAACACUGUCCCUCAUGUACAAAAAGGCUUCCCACUGUAGAUGAAGAAUAACGGUGGCUAAAUGACCCAUCAGUGUGGUCGACCCCCAAGUCGACAGAAAUUGUCCCAGAACAGCAUCGAAAUGGCAAUCUCGGUAUUGCCAUUGUACACCACAGUGACACUGCAGUGACUUCCUGACAAUGGCACAGCCGACAUUCGGGAAAUAAUGCCCUACCACCUGACUUAAACAACUGUCAAGGCACAGACUGUGAAGCAGCCCCAUGUGCUAUUACAUAUAUCAAAUUCUAGAAGCGCCGCAAAGAGUGGCAGCUCGACACAACAGCUCCCGCUCCGCCUUAUUUUUUCGCCUUAAAUCUUACUAGUUCUUUAUUCCUCCUUAAAUAGCACUAUGUAAAAUAGUUAUAAAUAGACCUCCAGUGUUGGUAGGUCAUUUUUUUAAACUUUUUUAGCUGUUGUUGAACUUAGUUUUAGUUUAGUUAUUUAAAAAAAAUAUAUAAACUGUGUGGGAAU